rnacentral:lncRNA from 1 species
AUUAAUGGGGAAAUCUGCAAGUUUGACCUGAUGAAGUAGGUUGACUUAGAAUAAGAAAAUUUUUUUGAGGCAGGGUCUUGCUAAUGUAGUGCAGGCUUGCCUUGAAGUCACUGUGUAACCCAGUCUGGCCUGGAACUCAUGACAGUCCUCCUGCUCCAACAUCCCCAGUGCUGGGAUUGCAGAGUGUACCACCACACCCAGCUAAAUUGUCCAGUUUUUAUCAACUGUUGGACUGUAUAUUACCCCAUAAUGCACCCCCAAAGCCUAGCCAGUGACAGGAAAAUAAUCUUUGGAAAUUAAGUAUGCUAAGAGUACAAUGGGAAUAACCUGAUUUACGAUUGGGCAUACUCAGAUUUGCAUUUAGUUUCUUGUUUUUUUUUUUUUUUUUCUGGUACUGGGAAUCAAACUCUUGACCUCGCGCUUGCCAGGCAGGCACUGUGCUGCUGAGCUAAAUCCCCAGCCCCUAGUUUCUUCUUGUUGUUGUUUUGGGUUGUUUGUUUGUUUGUUUUCUUGGUACUGGGAAUCGAACUCUGGACCCUGCGCUUGCCAGGAAGGCGCUUAUGCCACUGAGCUACAUCCCCGGCUCACGCGUUUAGUUUCUGUUGGUUCUGAGCUUAUUCCAUGCUCAGCAGAAGAACUGCGAUUGUCUUUCCCUGGUUUGUAGGGGAUGACCAAGACAGUGAGAAGUCCAAGCCAGCAGGCUCGGAUGGUGAGCGGCGAGGGGUGAAGAGACAGCGGGAUGAGAAAGAUGAGCAUGGCCGCGCCUACUACGAGUUUCGAGAGGAGGCGCACCACAGCCGUUCCAAGUCACCACCACCUCCUGAGGAAGAGGCAAAGGAGGAGGAGGAAGAUCAGACUCUCGUGAACCUGGACACGUGUAUGUAUAAGACAAAAAGGUUGGGGGUUUUAAGUACUCUGCUAAAAGGAAUUUUGGGGAUUAGACCUGGCCUGCAUGUCCUCACACUUUGC